GCCUUUGUGGUGUAGUGGUGAGCACGCUCGAAGCGUAUCCUAGAGGUCCGUGGUUUGAAUCCCGGGAAGGGCA
rnacentral:tRNA from 1 species